rnacentral:rRNA from 1 species
UCCCUCAGUAGCGGCGAGCGAAGAGGGAAGAGCCCAGCGCCGAAUUCCCCGCCCGGAAGGGCGUUCGGAACAUGUGGCGUUUAGGAGGAAUCUCUCCGGAGGCAGACGGUGUCGCAAGUCCCCCUGAACGGGGCUGUGAUCCAGAGCGGGUGCGAGGCCCAUAGCUGGUACCGUCUCCUUCGGGUGUCACCUCCUCGGAGUCGGGUUGCUUGGGAGUGCAGCCCUAAUUGGGUGGUAAACUCCACCUAAGGCUAAAUACGUCCGUGAGACCGAUAGCAAACAAGUACCGUGAGGGAAAGUUGCAAAGAACUUUGAAGAGAGAGUUCAAGAGUACGUGAAACCGCUCAGAGGCAAACGGGUGGGCCCACGAAAGCCGAAGGCGGGGGGAUUCAGUCGAGAGGACGUCGGGGCAGUGCCUGCUGGUUCGACGGACCGUGCCAGGCCGGGUUGGCUCCCGAGACCCUUCGCCUCUCGACGCAUUUCCCUCUGCUUAGUAGGACGCCGCAACCCGUCGGUGCACUCAGCCAUAAGGGAGAGUCAUCGGAAGGUAGCCAGCGAGCACUUCUUCGGAGGAGCGAGCUGGUCCUAUAGCCCGCUCUCCUGGUGCUUGAGGCCCGACGGUGGUCUGGAGUCCCUUCACGGGACGUCGCCGAGCCCUUCUCGAGCGAGCGGGAGCGUACGGCAGGCUGCUUUCCGCGACCUAAAACCGGUCGCUCCACACGAGCAGUGGGCGACCUUCGGAGGCGGCUGCUGGAACGUACGUUUCCCGCGCUGGGCACAGGCAGUUGGCGGCGAGUAGGUCGGUCACCCACCCGACCCGUCUUGAAACACGGACCAAGGAGUCUAACAUGUGCGCAAGUCAUUGGGUCUUGGACAAGCCCAAAGGCGCAAUGAAAGUGAAGACCGGCACUGAAGUCGGUGGAGUUGGGAAACCGGGCCACUGAAGGCUCGGUUGCACCAACGGCCCGUCCCGUCCGCAUUGUCGGUGGGGCGGAGCGAGAGCGUACACGUUGGUACCCGAAAGAUGGUGAACUAUGCCUGGGCAGGACGAAGCCAGGGGAAACUCUGGUGGAGGUCCG